ensembl:lncRNA
UUUGGGUCUUCAGUCUCUGUGUGAGUGAUGCUGGUGGUGCCCUAGGUGGUCAUGGCACUGAAGGGGCUGCUUUGUGUUCUUUUUCUUUCCACUUCUAUUGCUUCUGGGCAGUGCCUUGACUCAGCAAUUGGCUGUCUGUUAGAUCUUCGCAGUGUAGUUGGUUCUUCGUGAAUAACUGAGUGGAGGGCAGAGAAUGUAGAGGCUGGUAUCAGCCACGUUCUGCUGUGCAAGGUGCUGUGAGGCAUGUUCUUCCUGGACUGCUGUAGGAUUGCUGGAGAGAAUUCUGUAACCCAUCCACCAGAUCAGUUUGAGAAGGAAAUGCAUUUACUGUACACUGGAGAAGCUGGAUGAAGAAGAGAUGUGGAAAAAGCCAGAAGACAACUAAGUCUGGAGCUUCAGCUGGGAGAGCAAGGCUAGACCUUGAGAACAGCAAAGGAAAUUUGAAAAGUAACUGUUGGAAAAAAGAAGGCAAGCAACACGCUCUUGAAGUGUUUAAACAACUGCAGUUACCUUUAGCUCAAUGGCUCUCCUCCCAAAACUGCCUUUCUGUGGAAGCAGAGUAUGUGGAAAUACAAAACUGCGUAAGGAACACUGAUUUAUUCAGAUGCUCGUGCUCUACAAAUCAUAGUGUUUUUUUUUGCAAGCCAUGCAAGUUUGAGCUGUUGAAGAUUUCAAUUCAGAAUUUAGACUUACUGAAUGACCUCCUGAAGAAUCUGUUAUAAAUUGUGUAACUACUGGAAAUGGCUCGUGCCUGCUGUUUUUAUCUGAAAUAAAGUUACAAAAAUCACUAUCCAGCAGUAGAGGUGAUCCAAAUUUUGGAUCUGCGCUAUUGGUGAUGGCAAUGAUGGUUUAAGUGGUGUUCAUCGGGUACCAGGAGUGCUGCUAUGCUGUGCAAAUCACAAUGAAAAACAGCAGCAGAGUUUACUUGGAGAGAAGCAGUGCACGUGCAGGCAGAAGAGGCUGAGUGAGUGGAGGGCUGGAACACCCAAGCAGAAUGACCAGUAUGAACCUUGCAAAUGUCAUGUUAAGUUAUCUAAAAAUUCAUCUCUCUAAUGGGUGGUUUAGAAAAGCCCAGAGCUCAGCAUGCAGGAACUUGUAUUUUUGACAGCUAAUUCCUGACAACCGAGAGCUGUUUGCCAGCUGAACACUUGCCUUCCCAUUGUAAAUGCUUUCUCUUGUUCACUUGUUCUUUUUCUGUUCCUGUGGUUUGUCCACACUUGAAGUCUGAGCCUGUUCUGCUUUCCUUUCUUAAUGCUCAAAUGCUGAAACAAAUGUCAGCUUGCUAGUGGAUAUCUAAAGGGAGAGGAGAGCUUAAUGUACUUUUAUCUGCUGCCUCCCAGAAGCCAGCAGGGAAAAAUGAGCAGAAUUGGAAUUUCCAUUUGGGACAUUUCAGUAUUUACUUUGCCAUUUACUUUCAUGGAACUGUAGAACUGUAGUUUGGAAGAUGUGUAUGUGAGCCUCUGUGCUGAAAGAAGGGCUGCUUUUGCAGUGGGGUCCGUUUCAUUCUGAACCAGAACGAAGAGUCAAAGUUUAUAUACCUUUACAUCUGGUGUUUUACAUCUAUAAAAGGAAAGGAAUAAAAAGUUAGGGGGAAAAAAACUUUGCUCCAGGAAUGGCAAAAUAUUCUUUAUCAAAGCAGAGUAUUGUUGACAUUUCUGAAUGGAAACGCUUCAUUAGUAUCUGUUUGGCGAUAAAACCCAUCUGCUUGUGAGAUCAUAGCCCCUUGUGGAGGUUGUAGUUCUGGAUGCUGAUGCCAUGCUUCCCGAAUUACACUUCCAAUAGUCUUCUUUCUACUUCUGCUUAUGCCUUCCAACCAUAGCCGUCCUGUUUUACAGAAUUAAAUGCGCUCUUGCCGGUCUCUAGCCUUGCUUUUGUCUUGGGAUCUUUCAUGGCUUUUCUGAAAUCAUACAGGAGGUGCACAGUCUCCUUUCCUCAUAUGUGAUUGUGUGUAUUGACGUUUCCAGGCAAUUGAGGAGUUGCCCUUUUCCUGAAGACAUGGUUAUUGUUUUAGAUGACAUCUCUUCGCCAGGGCAGAGAUUUUCGUAAGCUGUUCUAUGUUUCCUGUUGGAUGAUUCUGGUAGAUGGAAAGUUAGUUGAGGAGUGCUGAUUGUUCCCAUAGGAAUGUCCAAUGAGGAGUGCCUGAGUUGGAUGGUUCUGCUAGGUCCCUACAGGAACAGAACAGGUGCAGAUGUUUUCCACAUCAAGCUUGAAAGCUACUGCUGUCUGUGAUGUUAUCGAUGUCACUUGGAAAUAAAAGCAGAUUUGAGAUUCCUUGUUCUCUCAGGAAUUUACGCUUGCUAUGGUGAAGAAAUGCUUACUGGAAUCACCUGGCAGGAGAGCCCCAUCCUCUUUGCACUGCACUGUAUGUAGUGGCCAGUGUAUUGCAGUGCCCCAAGGGGCAGCCUGUGUGUUAGCUCACCUUGUGUAUGUGUGAAUUUAAGCCUCCAGGCCUCGGUGUGCCUGUUGAACAACGAUGGCUUCCUUGCAUCUUCUGUUUUUUAUUUAGCAGUUCCUGGAGCUGGCCAGAUUUGCACACUCACAAGAUGUAAUAGGGCAGUGGGACAAAGGAGCUCCUCCUGUGAUCUGGGCCAAAAAAAGAAAGUCAAAUAAAACCUCCAUUCAUGGGAUGAAGGACGAUGAAAGGCAGAGAGGAAAGAUGACACAAAGCUGACAGCUGUGGCACACGUCUCCUCUCUUAGCCAGGAAAGCUGACAAGUAGAUUGCUCAGGACAGGCACUUACAGGUUACCCUGUCAGCUACUUGAAUGCCUUGUCUUUUAUCUGCCACCUUCAUAGGAAAGAACAGAGAGAGCUUGUGCCCAUCUGAUGAGCCGGUUCAUACUGGCACAUCAUCAGCCUUAGCAGUGCACGAACACAAUAUAGUCCAAAAGCAGCAUUUUGGUUUCUGAAAUCUCUUUUUUUCUUGAUGCAUGCAUGAAGACACGUACCUGCCCAAGCAGCUGUAUGCAUUGAAAAGUCCUAUUCAUAGAAGUAAAAUUCUCUCUCUCUUCAAAACUAAUUAUUUUUUUUUUGUCUUCUAAAGCCUCACUCUUUUACUCGUGGGAUAAUAGUCUAACUUUGUGUAGAGUAACUCUUGCAAGUACAGACCUAAUUCAGGCUGUAAUUUCUGUUCUUUGGCUUUACUUUUCACUUUACUGGAGACAAGGAAUUCUGACUCCUUAGGAGCUGGCUGAAUGCUUGGUGUUCUUGAAAAGUUGGGAGUGUACACAGAGCUUCAGGCAGACAAGGAAAAUGUGGUGCUGUGUACUUGAGCAAUGUCAAACAGCCGGCUGUGGUUCAGCCUCUGUGUGGCUUGUAAAGGAGGUGAAAGAUUAUGGCUUCUUCCUAUUUGUUUGUUUAGAGCUUCAUAUAGGAGAGAGAACUCAGCUGUAUUGAACUAUAGAAUGAGGGAGUAAGAAAUUAAGCUUUUUUUUUUUGCCCCCAACUUCAUGGGGAGACGAAAGUGCAUGACCUUGUCAUAAAAAGUAUCCUGGUGAAAACUGCCAUUGCAAAUGAACAGAGCUCACCCAAACAACUGAAUUUCUGCAGUUCCUAACUUUAGUUGUUAGACAUUUUCAUCUUAAAUGUUGACUUCAGAUGCGGUGUAUGAUGGAGGUGACAUAGCUACCUGAAAUUUUAAUUUCCAGUGGUAGUAAUUGUCUUGUUUUGUAACUCGGCCAUAUUCAAGUUUCCCAGAAAGAAUGUUGCUGCUUUUGUGCAAAUUCCAUUGAUUUCUGAUUGUGUGUGGUAAAGCGAAGUUGCUUCAUUCUGUCUUCAUCUACAGAUCACUUAAUUGGUAACUCUGCGGAAAAAAUCAGUCUGAGGUCAACAUAAAACUUGGAAAUAAUCAUCCUUAACAGCUCCUGCUGUUUAAGUCCUGUUCUAAACUAGGAUGUGCCAGGUAAUAUUAAAAUAAUGUUGCCUUUCAAAUUAAAGCCUUACUGUGUCUCCUAUCAAUGUCUGUUUGUAAUGAGAGAAAGAAGAGUUUUAAGACUGCUCAAGAGAGAACUUAAGUGUGUGUUGUUCUGAGUGGGGUCAGGAUUCAGUGGUAUAUGACCAGAAGUGUUUUGCCUAAGUGGAAUCUAGUAAGGUAGACACUGGUUUCUGCUUUAGGUACAUUAAAGCACUAUCUGGGACUUGACUGUAAAUCAGGACUUUAGUUCUAUGAACAGAACUGACCCAGCUCCUUGUUGACUCUUAAGACUCUACAGAUGUUAGUGAAAACAAACACUAAGUCCUGAAUCUUUCUGUGUUGUAACUUCAUUAGCACAUCAUCCUCUCCUCAUUUCCUUCCCCAGAACUGUGUAGUCAGUGGUUGUGGAAGGCUGAAUGUGCUGUCUGAAACAAGAGCUUAAUGGUAAAUUAGUAAACAAUUAUAAUAUACUUUGAGGGGGAGAAGAGUUGAGUAUGAUUGUGCUAGAGAUACAUCUGAAGGCCACAGGCCAUUCAAAGUAGUGCAAGUAAUUAAACAGUCUGUACUGCUUCAGUAGCAAUCUUUUAAUUAGCUUGUAUAAAUGCAUACAGCUGCAGUAUCAUCAAGCAAUUCUCUUGAGCAUACAGGUUUUGUUGUUAUAGACUGUUGGAGGUGAUUGCAUACAAUGUUGUUUUGUGGUUUCUGAUUAAACGAGUUU